ACAAAAGCAAUGAAGGAUCAAGUAUGCUACAGCCCAUUUAUUCCGUUAGGAUCAGAGAGAAGCUCUCAAGGCUGAGAGGAGCUUUAAAUGAAGGGUAGCAGAAAGCUAAUCUGGAGUGUAGAUAAACUCUGCCGUGAAAGCUACGUUAGUGCUUCUGAGGUGAUGAGCUAAUUGUAGCUCAUAAUCAGGGUGGUACCGCGAGUAUAACUCUCGUCCCUGCU
rnacentral:ncRNA from 1 species